GACGAACCGUGCGAACGUUGUUCGGAAUCACUGGGCUUAAAGGGCGCGUAGGCGGGCCCGCCAGUCUGUGGUGAAAUCCUCCGGCUCAACCGGAGAACUGCCUCGGAUACUGCGGGUCUCGAGGGUGAUAGGGGUAUGCGGAACUAUCGGUGGAGCGGUGAAAUGCGUUGAUAUCGAUAGGAACUCCGGUGGCGAAGGCGGCAUACUGGAUCACUUCUGACGCUGAGGCGCGAAAGCCAGGGGAGCAAACGGG
rnacentral:rRNA from 1 species